rnacentral:rRNA from 1 species
CCAGACUCCUACGGGAGGCAGCAGUGAGGAAUAUUGGUCAAUGGGCGGGAGCCUGAACCAGCCAAGUCGCGUGAGGGAUGACGGCCCUAUGGGUUGUAAACCUCUUUUGCCGGGGAGCAAAGUGCCGCACGUGUGCGGUUUGGAGAGUACCCGGAGAAAAAGCAUCGGCUAACUCCGUGCCAGCAGCCGCGGUAAUACGGAGGAUCCGAGCGUUAUCCGGAUUCAUUGGGUUUAAAGGGUGCGUAGGUUGUUUUAUAAGUUAGCGGUGAAAUACCGAUGCUCAACAUCGGGGCUGCCGCUAAUACUGUAGGACUAGAGAUCGGAUGCAGCAGGCGGAAUGUGUAGUGUAGCGGUGAAAUGCAUAGAUAUCGCGCAGAACUCCGAUUGCGAAGGCGGCAUGCCGGCUCCACACUGACGCUGAGGCACGAAAGCGUGGGUAUCGAACAGGAUUAGAUACCCCAGUA